GGCGAACGCUGGCGGCGUGCUUAACACAUGCCAGUCGAACGGGGAAGCGCAAUCCUUUUUGGAGGGUGGGGAUGGGUGGCAAACCGGUGAGUAACACGUGCAGAACCUGCACUAAUCUGCCGGAUAACCGCGUGAAAGUGGGGAUAACACGGGAUAUCGUGGGUCUGUUGCAUGAUGGGUCGGGGACAGAUAUUGUUUCGGUGGGGGAUGGGCCCGCGGCCUAUCAGCUUGUUGGUGGGGUGAUGGCCUACCAAGGCGGUGAUGGGUAGCCGGCCUGAGAGGGUGGACGGACACGAUGGGACAGAGAGACGAGACAGACUCGUACGGGAGGCGGCGGGGAGGAAUCGUGAACGAUGAGCGCAAGCCUGAUGCAGCGCCGCCGCGUGAGGGAUGGAUUCCGUCUGGUUGUGAACCUCUUUUGCGAGUGAAGCCUGCCUGCCUCGUUUGUGGGUGGGUUGACGGUACCUGGAAAAGAAGCGCCGGCUAACUACGUG
rnacentral:rRNA from 1 species